UUGAACGCUGGCGGCAUGCUUUACACAUGCCAGUCGAACGGCAGCGCGGGCUUCGGCCUGGCGGCGAGUGGCGAACGGGUGAGUAAUACAUCGGAACGUGCCCGGUAGUGGGGGAUAGCUCGGCGAAAGCCGGAUUAAUACCGCAUACGACCUGAGGGUGAAAGCGGGGGAUCUUCGGACCUCGCGCUAUUGGAGCGGCCGAUGGCAGAUUAGCUAGUUGGUGGGGUAAAGGCCUACCAAGGCGACGAUCUGUAGCUGGUCUGAGAGGACGACCAGCCACACUGGGACUGAGACACGGCCCAGACUCCUACGGGAGGCAGCAGUGGGGAAUUUUGGACAAUGGGCGAAAGCCUGAUCCAGCAAUGCCUCGUGUGUGAUGAAGGCCUUCGGGUUGUAAAGCACUUUUGGCGGGAACGAAAAGGACUGUGCCAAUACCACGGUUCGAUGACGGUACCCGCAGAAUAAGCACCGGCUAACUACGUG
rnacentral:rRNA from 1 species